CCCACAAAUUUCUCCCUUUUUUCAUAACUGAUUAGUGCACAGAUUAAUGGAUAUUUUUCUUGUGUACUGAAUGUGUGUGUGUGUGAAUUUGGGGGGGCAUGAAAGAUUUCUGCAUAAAACAAAAAUGGCUGCUGUGACUUAACUCCCCCCUUAGAAAAAAUAUCUGGGGGGGGCAUUAAUCAGUACUCAUGCUCAGUCUGACAUCAGCAUAAAUUGUUAAAGGUUAACUAGUUAAAUACUAGUCCAACUAGAUUUGAUUUUUUUUCUUUUCUUCACUAGUCUCUUCCUCCCCACCUCCCUUCUCUAAAGAAAAGCUUUUUUUUUUUUCUGAAUACUUCAGAAGGGAGUGGUUUGAUGUGAAGGUUUUUUUUUCCCCCUUCAGGCAUUGAAAAGGAAAAGAUGAAAUAUAUGUUUAUAUAUAAAUCUGUGUCUGCAUACCUCACUGAAGUAAAAACGCAUUUAAUUGUGUCCGUGUCUUUUAAGUGAGAAGCGGUACAGGAUUUUUCUUUCUUUGAAAAAAGUGAUAGAAAUUUCAGUGACUUUUUGGGGGAGAGAUAUGAAUAGAUACAAUGAUUGAGGUUUUUUGCAAAGGAGUCCAUGUUUGAUUCUUCCCUUUGCCCGGCCUUUUUAGUGAUUUAUAAUUAUUAGAAAUUUUAUCUUCAUUCUUUUCCACGUUGACACCCCCCACCACCACCACACACACCUUUCCUUUAAUUGUUUGGAUGUAAAAUUUAUCAGAUUUAGGCAAUUGAGUUGGUGUGAGUAGAACAAAAUGUGUAGAAUAAGGGGGGAAAGACUCAAGUCCGAAGAUUGUGAAAUGAUGUUCUCUUUUCUCCCAGUUGAGUACAUUCACCUUCUCCAGCGUUGACAAAGUAGAAGAAACUGAGGGACUGCGUGAGGAAAGUCACUGGACUGAGAAAGAGUCUCCUCAGUGGACCAUCGCCCAGUCUACCAUCUCCCUGUUUUCCUGUCUCCAUCCCUCCACCUUUCCUCCCCUUCUGAACUAUGUCUUUGGGUAAAUGCUGCCCCAGGAUCCCAAGUGGUCGAGUAUUCUAAGGCUGUCAUGUUUUCUGACACCGUCCCACUCUUCACCAUCAGAGAAACCAUCAUCACACUUCUGCCUGAGGGGACAUGCACAAAGGUGUUCAGUACAAUAUUGCUCGUAGUAGCAAAAAAUUGGAAGUACCCUAAGUGUCUAACAGUAAAGACUAGCUAAAUAGAUUAUGCAGCAAUUAAAAAGGAGUUGCUUUUAUAUAUAUAUAUGUGGAUAUGGCUCUUGUGAUAUGCGGUUGAAUGGAAAAUAGCAAUAUGUGGCCAUGUAACCCCGACAACUGACCUCUAUUUUCCUGGAGAAACUGAGGAAGGAGAGUCAGUCGUGAGAGGGGAUAUGGGAUGUGCUGGCAACUGUCUCUGCCUGGCUGCCAUGACUGAGCACUUUGAUAAAGAUUCUGUAGAAGAAUCCUGAUCAAAAGGGAGAGAGUGCAGAACAGAAUUUCUAAUUCCCCUGGACUACAGACUUUUCGAGCCACAAGGAACUGGAUAAACCCUUAAAACCUGAGGCAACCUUUACAACUUAAAUCUAGACUAUCCCUGAAGUCAUCUUAAAGCCAAACAGUAGUUUAGCUUAGCUAGUGAAAAAUGUCUGCCUUGAGCAUUAAGUACCAGCUAUAUGAGAUCAAACAAUAGCAACUUGAAAUAUUUGCUAAGAACCUUAAGGGGUAGUGGGAUUAUCUUAAUGGGGGAGGAACACCCAGAAAAGGAGCCUGAGAAUGAUCAUUAAUGUCACUAAAUUGUAUCUGUAGAGGUUUGCUAUGGCUGUUCUAACACAAUAAGAUAGCAAUAUCAAGUUGUAAAACAGUAGCGAUA